rnacentral:rRNA from 1 species
UACGGGGGGGGCAAGCGUUGUUCGGAAUUACUGGGCGUAAAGGGCUCGUAGGCGGCCAACUAAGUCGGACGUGAAAUCCCUCGGCUUAACCGGGGAACUGCGUCCGAUACUGGAUGGCUUGAGUAUGGGAGAGGGAUGCGGAAUUCCAGGUGUAGCGGUGAAAUGCGUAGAUAUCUGAAGGAACAUCAGUGGCGAAAGCGACUUCCUGGACCAAUACUGACGCUG